rnacentral:misc_RNA from 1 species
GGUGCUGAUGUACUUCUUGCUUCAUUUUGCAAUCAAUAAACUCUCUUGUUUCACCCUCUCAAUUUUUUAGAUCAAUUUUUUCUACCUUCACAAUGUAGGGGUAAGGUUUGUGCAGACCCCACUUGUGGAAUUACACUGGAUAUAUUGUUAUUAUUGUAAUUUAAUCUGGCUAAAUUCCGUCAUCUCCCAUCAGGAAUGAAAAUAAUCAAUUACUUU